rnacentral:rRNA from 1 species
UACGUAGGGGGCGAGCGUUGUCCGGAGUUACUGGGCGUAAAGGGCAUGCAGGCGGUCGGACGCGUCUGCUGUGAAAACUCGGGGCUUAACCCCGGGCCUGCAGUGGGUACGGGCAGACUAGAGUGCGGUAGGGGAGACUGGAAUUCCUGGUGUAGCGGUGAAAUGCGCAGAUAUCAGGAGGAACACCGGUGGCGAAGGCACUUUACUGGGCUAUUACUAACACUCAGAGACGAAAGCUAGGGUAGCAAAUGGG